rnacentral:rRNA from 1 species
UACGGGGGGGGCAAGCGUUGUUCGGAAUUACUGGGCGUAAAGGGCUCGUAGGUGGCCAACUAAGUCAGACGUGAAAUCCCUCGGCUCAACCGGGGAACUGCGUCUGAUACUGGGUGGCUUGAAUCCGGGAGAGGGAUGCGGAAUUCCAGGUGUAGCGGUGAAAUGCGUAGAUAUCUGGAGGAACACCGGUGGCGAAGGCGGCAUCCUGGACCGGCAUUGACGCUGAGGCGCGAAAGCGUGGGGAGCGAUCCGG